rnacentral:misc_RNA from 1 species
UUUCCGUAGGUGAACCUGCGGAAGGAUCAUUAUUGAAUGAAACACUUCUGGCUUUAUGCUGUUGUGCUGGCCCUUUGGUCAAUGUGCACACGGCUCUGGUCACUUGUUUCUUCUGUUCCACCUGUGCACUGCCUGUAGACACGCUGUGUCUAUGAUAUUUGUUAACACACAACAAUGUUAGUUGGCAUGUUAUAUAUAAUAAUAAAAUAUACAACUUUCAACAACGGAUCUCUUGGCUCUC